rnacentral:rRNA from 1 species
GAUGAACGCUGGCGGCGUGCCUAAUACAUGCAAGUCGAGCGAACAGACGAGGAGCUUGCUCCUCUGACGUUAGCGGCGGACGGGUGAGUAACACGUGGAUAACCUACCUAUAAGACUGGGAUAACUUCGGGAAACCGGAGCUAAUACCGGAUAAUAUAUUGAACCGCAUGGUUCAAUAGUGAAAGACGGUUUUGCUGUCACUUAUAGAUGGAUCCGCGCCGCAUUAGCUAGUUGGUAAGGUAACGGCUUACCAAGGCAACGAUGCGUAGCCGACCUGAGAGGGAGGGAGGGCACACUGGAACUGAGGAACGGUCAAGACUCCUACGGGAGGCAGCAGUGGGGAAUAUGCGGGAAAGGGCGAAAGAUUGACGGAGAAACGCAGCGUGAGUGAUGAAGGUCUUCGGAUCGUAAAACUCUGUUAUUAGGGAAGAAAAAAUGUGUAAGGAACUAUGCAGGUCUUGACGGUACCUAAUCAGAAAGCCACGGCUAACUACGUG